CUUCAGCACAAAAUUUGCUAAUUAGUUAAUUUCAAAUCAAUUAUUUAGUGGAAAAUUGAAGCCUUUCAAGGCAUAACUAAGCAAGAACAAAGCAACUUCAUACCAACUGACAGUUUAUUGCUUUAUAAUUAGGUAACGUCUAGCGUUUUCUGCAUGGUAACAAACAACUAACAUUAACUAAAUUCACUAGCCUGCAAAUUAUUUUGUUUUAUUGUAUUUUUAUUCGUGUUUUAACCGCAACGAAGCAGAAAUUGGCAAACGGGACGAAAAAUGAAAACAUUGUCACUUCGUUUAAGGAGUGUUCUAAAAAGGAUAAAAAUUAUUCUUUUCUCAAUCAUUUUUAAACACAGGUUCAUGUUUUUUAUGUUAGUUUAUGUCUGAUUUAACAAUUCUUAGAUAUAAGUACUUCUUAAUUAAAUUUUGUAAAUUGAACACGCAAUAAUAUGCAAUAAACACAGCUGACAAGCA